rnacentral:rRNA from 1 species
AGUGAACGCUGGCGGUAGGCCUAACACAUGCAAGUCGAACGGCAGCACAGGAGAGCUUGCUCUCUGGGUGGCGAGUGGCGGACGGGUGAGGAAUACAUCGGAAUCUACUUUUUCGUGGGGGAUAACGUAGGGAAACUUACGCUAAUACCGCAUACGACCUACGGGUGAAAGCAGGGGACCUUCGGGCCUUGCGCGAUUGAAUGAGCCGAUGUCGGAUUAGCUAGUUGGCGGGGUAAAGGCCCACCAAGGCGACGAUCCGUAGCUGGUCUGGGAGGAUGAUCAGCCACACUGGAACUGAGACACGGUCCAGACUCCUACGGGAGGCAGCAGUGGGGAAUAUUGGACGAUGGGCGCAAGCCUGAUCCAGCCAUACCGCGUGGGUGAAGAAGGCCUUCGGGUUGUAAAGCCCUUUUGUUGGGAAAGAAAUCCAGCUGGCUAAUACCCGGUUGGGAUGACGGUACCCAAAGAAUAAGCACCGGCUAACUUCGUGCCAGCCGCCGCAGUAA